rnacentral:rRNA from 1 species
CCUACGGGAGGCAGCAGUGGGGAAUUUUGGACAAUGGGCGAAAGCCUGAUCCAGCAAUGCCGCGUGAGUGAAGAAGGCCUUCGGGUUGUAAAGCUCUUUUGUCAGGGAAGAAACGGUGGGAGCUAAUAUCUCUUGCUAAUGACGGUACCUGAAGAAUAAGCACCGGCUAACUACGUGCCAGCAGCCGCGGUAAUACGUAGGGUGCAAGCGUUAAUCGGAAUUACUGGGCGUAAAGCGUGCGCAGGCGGUUUUGUAAGUCUGAUGUGAAAUCCCCGGGCUCAACCUGGGAAUUGCAUUGGAGACUGCAAGGCUAGAAUCUGGCAGAGGGGGGUAGAAUUCCACGUGUAGCAGUGAAAUGCGUAGAUAUGUGGAGGAACACCGAUGGCGAAGGCAGCCCCCUGGGUCAAGAUUGACGCUCAUGCACGAAAGCGUGGGGAGCAAACAGGAUUAGAUACCCUGGUAGUCCACGCCCUAAACGAUGUCUACUAGUUGUCGGGUCUUAAUUGACUUGGUAACGCAGCUACGCGUGAGUAGACCGCCGUCGGGAGGUACGGUCGCGAGAAGUUAAACGUAACGUAAAGUAGUAAGUUAGUACGGACGUGAGACGUAGACCGACGGACGACGACGAGGGGAGGAGGG